AGUGAACGCUGGCGGUAGGCCUAACACAUGCAAGUCGAACGGCAGCACAGUAAGGGCUUGCUCUUACGGGUGGCGAGUGGCGGACGGGUGAGGAAUACAUCGGAAUCUACUUUUUCGUGGGGGAUAACGUAGGGAAACUUACGCUCAUACCGCAUACGACCUACGGGUGAAAGCAGGGGAUCUUCGGACCUUGCGCGAUUGAAUGAGCCGAUGUCGGAUUAGCUAGUUGGCGGGGUAAAGGCCCACCAAGGCGACGAUCCGUAGCUGGUCUGAGAGGAUGAUCAGCCACACUGGAACUGAGACACGGUCCAGACUCCUACGGGAGGCAGCAGUGGGGAAUAUUGGACAAUGGGCGCAAGCCUGAUCCAGCCAUACCGCGUGGGUGAAGAAGGCCUUCGGGUUGUAAAGCCCUUUUGUUGGGAAAGAAAAGCAGCAGGUUAAUACCCCGCUGUUCUGACGGUACCCAAAGAAUAAGCACCGGCUAACUUCGUG
rnacentral:rRNA from 1 species